GGAAGUAAAAGUCGUAACAAGGUUUCCGUAGGUGAACCUGCGGAAGGAUCAUUAAUUAAACGCGAAUGGCCGGGCUUCCCACCACCCCUUCUGGGGGUGGAGCACGGGGCUGCCCGGCGUCCUUUUGAUUAUAUCCCAUCUGUGAACUUUUCCACUGUUGCUUCCGUGAGCCUGUACUCCUCUCUCUUUGAGAGUUGGAGCACCUGAAAAGCCCUGGUUCUGCCAGGGGCGCACGGCAAUGGUACCACAACUCUGGUUUCAUGUUGUAUAAGUCUGAGUGGUAACCACACAUAAACAAGUUAAAACUUUCAACAACGGAUCUCUUGGUUCUCGCAUCGAUGAAGAACGCAGCGAAAUGCGAUAAGUAGUGUGAAUUGCAGAAUUCAGUGAAUCAUCGAAUCUUUGAACGCACAUUGCGCCUCCUGGUAUUCCGGGAGGCAUGCCUGUUCGAGCGUCAUCAAACACAUCCUCAAGCAUUUUUGCUUGGUCAUGGAGGAAGAUGGUCUGUUGACUAUCCCCUCUGGAAUUCCUCAGCAGAGACCAUAGCAGCCUCAGGUGUGAUAAUAUUACCUCGCUUGAGUGUUAUUGUGGGCUCCCGCUGGAGAGCAGCCCCCAGCUUUUAUCAUGUUUGACCUCGGAUCAGGUAGGGAUACCCGCUGAACUUAAGCAUAUCAAUAAGCGGAGGA
rnacentral:misc_RNA from 1 species